rnacentral:rRNA from 1 species
UACGAAGGGGGCUAGCGUUGCUCGGAAUCACUGGGCGUAAAGCGCACGUAGGCGGCUUCUUAAGUCAGGGGUGAAAUCCUGGAGCUCAACUCCAGAACUGCCUUUGAUACUGAGAAGCUUGAGUCCGGGAGAGGUGAGUGGAACUGCGAGUGUAGAGGUGAAAUUCGUAGAUAUUCGCAAGAACACCAGUGGCGAAGGCGGCUCACUGGCCCGGUACUGACGCUGAGACGCGAAAGCGUGGGGAGCGAACAGG